UACGGAGGGUGCUAGCGUUGUUCGGAAUCACCGGGCGUAAAGCGCGUGUAGGCGGCCCACUAAGUCUGAUGUGAAAGCCCGGGGCUCACCCCCGGAAGUGCAUUGGAAACUGGUGGACUCGAGUCCCGGAGAGGAGGGUGGAAUUCCUGGUGUAGCGGUGAAAUGCGUAGAUAUCAGGAGGAACACCGGUGGCGAAGGCGGCCCUCUGGACGGUGACUGACGCUGAGACGCGAAAGCGUGGGGAGCAAACAGG
rnacentral:rRNA from 1 species